rnacentral:rRNA from 1 species
UACGGAGGGGGCGAGCGUUGUUCGGAAUUACUGGGCGUAAAGCGCACGUAGGCGGAUUGGUCAGUUGGGGGUGAAAUCCCGAGGCUUAACCUCGGAACUGCCCUCAAUACUGCCAAUCUAGAGAUCGGAAGAGGUAAGUGGAAUUCCUAGUGUAGAGGUGAAAUUCGUAGAUAUUAGGAAGAACACCAGUGGCGAAGGCGGCUUACUGGUCCGAUACUGACGCUGAGGUGCGAAAGCGUGGGGAGCAAACAGG